rnacentral:rRNA from 1 species
AUGAACGCUGGCGGCGUGCCUAAUACAUGCAAGUCGAGCGAACAGACGAGGAGCUUGCUCCUCUGACGUUAGCGGCGGACGGGUGAGUAACACGUGGAUAACCUACCUAUAAGACUGGGAUAACUUCGGGAAACCGGAGCUAAUACCGGAUAAUAUAUUGAACCGCAUGGUUCAAUAGUGAAAGACGGUUUUGCUGUCACUUAUAGAUGGAUCCGCGCCGCAUUAGCUAGUUGGUAAGGUAACGGCUUACCAAGGCGACGAUGCGUAGCCGACCUGAGAGGGUGAUCGGCCACACUGGAACUGAGACACGGUCCAGACUCCUACGGGAGGCAGCAGUAGGGAAUCUUCCGCAAUGGGCGAAAGCCUGACGGAGCAACGCCGCGUGAGUGAUGAAGGUCUUCGGAUUGUAAAACUCUGUUAUUAGGGAAGAACAAAUGUGUAAGUAACUAUGCACGUCUUGACGGUACCUAAUCAGAAAGCCACGGCUAACUACGUG